CGCGGGAUGGAGCAGUUGGCAGCUCGUCGGGCUCAUAACCCGAAGGUCACAGGUUCGAGUCCUGUUCCCGCAA
rfam:Jeongeupia sp. TSM3, complete genome.